ensembl:lncRNA
AAAGGGACAGCUGCAGUGAGCUGCCUGUUUUCUGAGUUAUCAGCUGCCAGACAGCCUGUAACACCUCAGCCAGAGGCACAGGGACCUCACCAUAAGUGCAUGCUGGCCUAAGGCCAUACCUGCACAUGCAAGGUGCAGAUCCUUUGGACUCCACACCUGUAGUGUGGCAUCCACAAAGCAGCAGCAGCAAAGCAGUUACCACUGUGUGCAAACAGCUUGCUGUGAUUAACCUAUCAGGGCUCAUGCUUGUCUGAGGACAGCUGGAGCUGGUAAGAUGUUUGCCUUGCAGUACCCAGAAAGCUGGAUAUCUCUUGGAGUGGUUCUGGAUGGUUACACACAAAUUGGAGACAUUGGUCUCCUGCCAGACCAGGCAGAAAUAACACAGCAAGAUGCCUCAGGGAAGCAAGGAAGUUGUUCAGGACUUCCUCUUCCCUCAACAACAGCAAACCUGAAAGCCAUAGAGGGGCAGGCUGGAGAACUGAGCUUGGCUGAAGACCUCUUGUCACUGACACUCCCAUGCUCCCAUCUUGGGCUGCUGGAGAGUGGCAUGUCCUUCAUGACUCACUGUACCCUCACAGUCAUAGCUCAUCUUCUGUGCCUGGCUGAGCACAGAGGGCCAAUCAUGCUGCAGGACCUCAGUGUAAGAUGUCGUCACAACAAGCAAUUGGAAAAGCCAAAGAAGGCUGAAAUCCAUGGCUGUGAAGAUGGAGUUGGCUGUUUCACUAUGAGAUGUGGAGGAAAUAUUUAUCCUACACCUACCGCAGCCAGACUGCAGUUGUUGAGUUGAGUGACAAGGAAAUGGGAGCCUGGGAUGUCUCAGCACAAGCUUCCCUAAGCCUUGACUUGGUGGGUGAGCACCUGAACACAGCCAGAGCCUGUUACAUUAAAGGCUUUAUAAAAGCAACAGUGCCAGGCUGACAUCCACCUCCCACGUUACCGGCAGCCCCAGCAGGUGUAAUGCGAUCCGGCAGGCGCAGCUAGCAGAUAAACAAACGGCCUUUCUGCACAGGUUGUGCCAGAGAGCCUCUCCCAGCAGGGAAUUGGGUUGGAUGUUGUACUAGGUCAGUGAGCUGCUAUGGAAAGAGCUGUGACAAUGGACAAUAUUGUCCUUUUUCCACACAGGAUUUUCCCUCAACACUUAAGGCAAGGCAGCAGAAAAACUGUUGGGGAAAGUUUCUCUACCAGGCCUCAGAAGUUUAGUGGGAUUGGGCCCUCAAUGGGGGCCUACUGCUGGAUUUCCCUAGGCCGUCACUUCAAUGCCGCCAGGCCAGCCAGCAGCGCUGAGGGCUGCCUGCCAGAGCUGCUUGCUUGCUCUGCCAUUGGGGCUCAUCUCUAGAAGAAUUAUGAUGGUGGUGCCCUGCUGUUGAUCAGUCAAAUCUGUGGUGGGCCUAGAGAUAAGUCCUGUAAGUGUGGUGUACUGUAAAACAGCGGCUCCCAUUCAUUAGUGGCUUGUGUGUAAUAAACCACCCAACAGAGGGGGUUGGGGAAGAGAGGGAAAGAGCAGCUGCAGUGUGCAGGAACAAACAACACAACUCAUUCUUGGGAGCCAAAACUUUCUAAUUUGCUGCUGGGCUGCUGGGAGCACUCAAAUUCUUUCUGAUAAUGUGCUCGUGCCCUCGGUGUCUCUCCCUGCGUUUCUGCUCUCCAGAAUCUGGAAUAGUUUCACUCCGAACAACAAACGUGGACGCUGCUCAACGGGGAGGAGGAGGGGAACACAGCCACCCAGUGUUUGCAGACUCCAGCACAGCAAAGUGGUGGACUUGAGGCAAGUUCUGCCGUGGAAUGGCUG